rnacentral:rRNA from 1 species
UACGUAGGGUGCGAGCGUUGUCCGGAAUUAUUGGGCGUAAAGGGCUCGUAGGCGGUUUGUCGCGUCGGAAGUGAAAACACGGGGGCUUAACUCUGUGCUUGCUUUCGAUACGGGCAGACUAGAGGGAUGCAGGGGAGAACGGAAUUCCUGGUGUAGCGGUGAAAUGCGCAGAUAUCAGGAGGAACACCGGUGGCGAAGGCGGUUCUCUGGGCAUUCCCUGACGCUGAGGAGCGAAAGUGUGGGGAGCGAACGGG